rnacentral:rRNA from 1 species
CCUACGGGCGGCAGCAGUGAGGAAUAUUGGUCAAUGGACGCAAGUCUGAACCAGCCAUGCCGCGUGCAGGAAGACGGCUCUAUGAGUUGUAAACUGCUUUUGUACGAGGGUAAACGCAGAUACGCGUAUCUGUCUGAAAGUAUCGUACGAAUAAGGAUCGGCUAACUCCGUGCCAGCAGCCGCGGUAAUACGGAGGAUUCGAGCGUUAUCCGGAUUUAUUGGGUUUAAAGGGAGCGUAGGCGGUCGGAUAAGUUAGAUGUGAAAUCCCGAGGCUCAACUUCGGAAUUGCAUCUGAUACUGGUCGGCUUGAGAGUAGUUGCGGUAGGCGGAAUGUGUGGUGUAGCGGUGAAAUGCUUAGAGAUCAUGAAGAACACCGAUUGCGAAGGCAGCUUACCAAGCUACUACUGACGUUGAGGCACGAAAGCGUGGGGAGCAAACAGGAUUAGAUACCCGAGUAGUC